rnacentral:rRNA from 1 species
AGUGAACGCUGACGGUAGGCCUAACACAUGCAAGUCGAACGGCAGCACAGUAAGAGCUUGCUCUUACGGGUGGCGAGUGGCGGACGGGUGAGGAAUACAUCGGAAUCUACUUUUUCGUGGGGGAUAACGUAGGGAAACUUACGCUAAUACCGCAUACGACCUACGGGUGAAAGCAGGGGAUCUUCGGACCUUGCGCGAUUGAAUGAGCCGAUGUCGGAUUAGCUAGUUGGCGGGGUAAAGGCCCACCAAGGCGACGAUCCGUAGCUGGUCUGAGAGGAUGAUCAGCCACACUGGAACUGAGACACGGUCCAGACUCCUACGGGAGGCAGCAGUGGGGAAUAUUGGACAAUGGGCGCAAGCCUGAUCCAGCCAUACCGCGUGGGUGAAGAAGGCCUUCGGGUUGUAAAGCCCUUUUGUUGAGAAAGAAAAGCAGCAGGUUAAUACCCCGCUGUUCUGACGGUACCCAAAGAAUAAGCACCGGCUAACUUCGUG